AUUGAACGCUGGCGGCAGGCUUAACACAUGCAAGUCGAACGAGUGGCGGACGGGUGAGUAAUGCUUGGGAAUCUAGCUUAUGGAGGGGGAUAACUACGGGAAACUGUAGCUAAUACCGCGUACCAUAGGAUGAGCCCAAGUGGGAUUAGGGAGUUGGUGAGGUAAAGGCUCACCAAGGCGACGAUCCCUAGCUGGUCUGAGAGGAUGACCGGACACAAUGGGACUGAGCGACGGACCAGACUCCUACGGGAGGAAGCAGUGGGGAAUAUUGCGCAAUGGGCGUAAGCCUGAUGGAGCAAUGCCGCGUGAGGGAAUAAGGUGUGCGGGUUGUAAAAUACUUUGGUUGGAGAAGCGUUAUCUAAAGAGAAAGCAACGGCGAACUACGUGCCAGCAGCCGCGGUAAGAC
rnacentral:rRNA from 1 species